UGCAGCCAUGUCAAAUUCAGUGUCUACCCUACCGAUGACAGACACUGCCCCAAAAGGCUUCCAUAGAAAUACUGUGGCUCAUGGGCCCUGUACCCCCUUGCCUGGGCUCACAGACAUCA
rnacentral:snoRNA from 1 species